AUUGGAUGUUUUUGGUUUUCAUUCCUCUCCUCACCAAGAUGCUCCAUCCCCAUGAGAACUGCUGUCAGUCAGAAACAGUUGCACCUUUGCGGGUUUUGUGAGUGUUUGGUAUGCUCUAAUACGAGAAGGGCAAGAUAAGAGGAAGGAAGUUGAAUACUGCGCAACUGUUAAAUAAAUAUACUUCUUGUCCUGGAGCUAUUGACCA
rnacentral:lncRNA from 12 species